rnacentral:sRNA from 1 species
GUCAUAUCCUCAGGUCUCAUCCAGCAUUUGUGGUCCGAGUUUCCCUCACCCACUUGUCCGUACAGGACAUUAGGCUGAGGAUGGGCUUUAAUGAGAUAAUCGGUGGCCCACUUGAGA